UACAGAGGGUGCGAGCGUUAAUCGGAAUUACUGGGCGUAAAGCGCACGUAGGCGGCUUGGUAUGUCGGGUGUGAAAUCCCCGGGCUCAACCUGGGAACUGCAUCCGAAACUGCCUUGCUAGAGUAUGGGAGAGGGGAGUGGAAUUUCCGGUGUAGCGGUGAAAUGCGUAGAUAUCGGAAGGAACAUCAGUGGCGAAGGCGGCUUUCUGGUCUGUAACUGACGCUGAGGCGCGAAAGCGUGGGGAGCGAACGAGGA
rnacentral:rRNA from 1 species